AUGAACGCUGGCGGUAUGCUUAACACAUGCAAGUCGAACGGGGGUCUUCGGACCCUAAGUGGCGGACGGGUGAGUAACGCGUGAGAAUCUGCCUUCAGGUCGGGGACAACAGCUGGAAACGGCUGCUAAUACCGGAUGUGCCUUAGGGUGAAAGCUUUAUGUGCCUGAAGAUGAGCUCGCGUCUGAUUAGCUAGUUGGUGGGGUAAGAGCUCACCAAGGCGACGAUCAGUAGCUGGUCUGAGAGGAUGAUCAGCCACACUGGGACUGAGACACGGCCCAGACUCCUACGGGAGGCAGCAGUGGGGAAUUUUGGACAAUGGGGGCAACCCUGAUCCAGCAAUGCCGCGUGUGUGAAGAAGGCCUUCGGGUUGUAAAGCACUUUUGUCCGGAAAGAGAUGGCUCUGGUUAAUACCCGGGGUCGAUGACGGUACCGGAAGAAUAAGCACCGGCUAACUACGUGCCAGCAGCCGCGGUAAUACGUAGGGUGCGAGCGUUAAUCGGAAUUACUGGGCGUAAAGCGUGCGCAGGCGGUUUUGUAAGACAGGCGUGAAAUCCCCGAGCUCAACUUGGGAAUGGCGCUUGUGACUGCAAGGCUAGAGUAUGUCAGAGGGGGGUAGAAUUCCACGUGUAGCAGUGAAAUGCGUAGAGAUGUGGAGGAAUACCGAUGGCGAAGGCAGCCCCCUGGGACGUCACUGACGCUCAUGCACGAAAGCGUGGGGAGCAAACAGGAUUAGAUACCCUGGUAGUCCACGCCCUAAACGAUGUCAACUAGUUGUUGGGGAUUCAUUUCUUCAGUAACGUAGCUAACGCGUGAAGUUGACCGCCUGGGGAGUACGGUCGCAAGAUUAAAACUCAAAGGAAUUGACGGGGACCCGCACAAGCGGUGGAGCGUGUGGUUUAAUUCGAUGGCACGCGAAGAACCUUACCAGGGCUUGACAUCCUCGGAAUCCCGUCGAAAGUCGGGAGUGCCCGCAAGGGAAUCGAGAGACAGGUGAUGCAUGGCCGUCGUCAGCUCGUGUCGUGAGAUGUAGGGUUAAGUCCCUCAACGAGCGGCAACCCUCGUCGCAAGUUAAAUUGUCUUGUGAGACUGCCCCGGCAACGGGGAGGAAGGAGAGGAUGACGUCUGGUCCGCAUUUCCCUUACGCUCUGGGCCACACACACGCUACAAUGGCCGGUACAAUGGGUUGCUAAGUCGCAAGACGGAGCUAAUCCUAUCAAAACCGGUCCCAGUUCGGAUUGCAGGCUGCAACUCGCCUGCAUGAAGUCGGAAUCGCUAGUAACCGUAGGUCAGCACACUACGGUGAAUACGUUCCCGGGUCUUGUACACACCGCCCGUCAAAGCACGAAAGUUGGCAAUACCUGAAGCUCGAUCUUGUAUCGGACCAAGGUAGGGCCAGCGAUUGGGCUUAAGUCGUAACAAGGUAA
rnacentral:rRNA from 1 species